rnacentral:tmRNA from 1 species
UCACUUCACAUUCACGUCCAAGCGCCUAUAUGGGUCGGUGCCGGUUUCGACCGGAUAUGAUGAUAAACUGCGCCGUGUAAUAGACGCAGCGGACCCGGGGGCGGUACCCGGCGGCUCCACCAUCACCCGUCCCGUUCGGAGCGAUCCGGCGGGGCUACCCUGUUGUCGCAGGGGUGAUGACGGGGCCGAACUAGGAUCGACGUGUGUUCAAAAGCGGUGUUUUCAUCCGGGCUGAGUAACCCGUUCAAGGCUCAAAACUCAUAAGUGCCAACGACAACGAAGCACUUGCUCUCGCAGCGUAAUUCUAGGGGCUAACGCCCUGAAGUUACAAAGUUAGAACACGGUUGGACCCACCGGGUAACAGAAGGGAUUCCAGGGGCCCGGGGUGAGCCUUGCAACAGAAUCACCCCACC